UCAUCCAUCUAUAAAAAAAGCAACAUUAGAAAUAGAAUUACUGGAGCAUCGCCUUAAGGAAAUAAAGAAAUGAACCACACCGCAGACCAGUGCACACAAUUUAAUAAAAGUAAUUCUGAGAAAUCCUG